rnacentral:tRNA from 1 species
GCGAGAGUGGCGGAAUUGGUAGACGCACUAUCUUGAGGGGGUAGCGAAAGUAUUUUCGUGUGGGUUCAAAUCCCGUCUCUCGCACCA